CUGCACUUGUCCAUACAUUACAAUUCCCAUUGUUUGAAGACCGUCAUUGCAGUCUUGGCAAUAAAACUUGAGACCAAAUCAAGUUGUAUCAGGCAAAUCAAUAUAUAACCUUGACAUAAAUUGAACAAGCUGAUAAUGAAAGUAACCUAGUUUGAUAUUUUAUAUAUAUAUCAUUUCCCACUGUGCACUAUAAUAUAGCUGGGAGGAUCUUCAAAUCUUCGCAUUAUAUUAAUGCGAUUCUUCACCUUAGAGAUAGUUAAUCCAUCGGUAAAAACAAACCUACCAUCAAAUUUUCGCUCCUCCCGGUCGUUGUCUUGCUUCCAAAAACACAUUCUUAAUAAUUGACGACCUAACAAUCCAAACCCUUAUAGGAGAAUCAGCAACAUACACACAAUUAAAUGGGAAUUCGUAUAUGUAACGCAAAUAUGCACCCGCUUUCAAACGACCUAAAUAUUUUUAUUGGAUAAUCCAUCAACGACACAUGCUAUCUCCAUAUAUAGAUAUAGGAAGAUGUGGUAUGAGUGCCAAUGAGACAAAUCUCCAUCCAAGUCACAAUUUAUAGAAGUAAACCAUUAUAGGUCCAUACCUAUGUUGAAUGAGUUCGACGAACAACGAGAAUAUUUAAUACCUAAAGCAUGUAUAGAUAUUUUGAGUAUUGCAGAAAAUUGGUAUUUAGUCAAACUAGCUAACCAUCAAAAGACAAAAUAGCGGUCCACCUACUACAAGUCUAUCUGGCAAAUAGUAAAGCAAUAAAAGCCACUGGACAAAUACAUUUGUCUAAUUGCGCAGGAAUGUGUAUAGUUAACCCUCUACCAAACUGAUCGGUCUUAGAUGAAACCAAAUGAAUUUCUACAUAUUUCUUGUAAAUUUUGACAUCAUUCUUGUUUUAAAGCAUGAUUAGUAGAACAUGCAUUGCUCAUAUUUUGAACUGUUAACUCCCCAACCAUGCAUAAAAAGAC
rnacentral:lncRNA from 1 species